UACGAAGGGGGCUAGCGUUGCUCGGAAUCACUGGGCGUAAAGCGCACGUAGGCGGCUCUUUAAGUCAGGGGUGAAAUCCUGGAGCUCAACUCCAGAACUGCCUUUGAUACUGAGAAGCUUGAGUCCGGGAGAGGUGAGUGGAACUGCGAGUGUAGAGGUGAAAUUCGUAGAUAUUCGCAAGAACACCAGUGGCGAAGGCGGCUCACUGGCCCGGUACUGACGCUGAGAUGCGAAAGCGUGGGGAGCAAACAGG
rnacentral:rRNA from 1 species